GAGUCAUCUAAGGUGAAAAGGUGGUUGUCCUUGUAAGAUGAUAGAAGCUUUUCCCAUCCCCAGCCUCGCACUUGAUGGAACACAGCAAAGAAAUGUUUCCAUGGCAAAAAGCAUGUGCAGCAAGGUAUGGCUUCAUCAUCUCCGAAGUAGACGGUGUGGUAUUUGGAUGGUUAGCUCUGACUCUUCACACUGAAGGUGUCAUGGUCAAUCUGAAUCACAUCAUUGGACUUGAAUUCUAUGGCUUCUUCAAGUCUUGACUUCAUGUGCUAUACAAAGCCCCUUGGCCUGUCCCUCAGAUACAUGGGAAUGUUCUCAUUGUACCUUCUGUAGGUGCAAGAGCUUUCGAUGUAGCUGUGUGGCACUGCUUACUUCAACCUCUACAGAUGCACUUGUGAGGUCAAGUAGUGUUGUUGCUACUGUUACUUGGACUGUCUACAUUCUAACGUCCGUUUUUGUCUGUGUCUGUGUGUCAACAAGAUAACUCAAGAGCGGCUGCGUUGAUAGGUUUCAUACUUGGUCUGUUAGUAAGGUGUGGUGAAAGCUGGAAAUAAUUAGAUUUUGGGCCCCAUAGCGGCUUCCCUUGUUACUGCAGCACAAUUUCUGGUUUUGCUAUCUUGUGUCCUGAACAAGCUAUGAUUUUUGUGUGUUAGAUUGCUUGUGUUCAGUAAAAGUAAAAAAAGUUUGGGCCCUUAGAGUCUAAUUUGGUAUAGCAGGGGCAUUUUAUGUCAAAAAAUUCUGCAGAGGAUGAAAUAACUCAAUAAGGGAACAAAGUUAUGCAAAUGAUGACUUAAGUCAUUCACAUAAAAUUUACAAAAGCUCUAAGUAUUUCAUGUAGGUAUGAGGUCGCCGAACUCUAGAUAUAAGACAGAAUAAAAACCCAAGGUUUCUUUAAUUAGAUAUCCCAGUUGAAGUUUAAUAGCUGGAUGUGAUUUCGCUAAUUAACUACAUUCACUUUAUUGUGGUGAUGUUUCUAACACAGACAUUCAACCAUCAACGGAGAAGAGGAUGUACUUUCAUCUAACUGGAGUGCCAUUUGAUGGUUCACCAUUCCAAUUAGUUGGGACAAAGGUGUAUGAGUGCCAUCUGGGGAAAGAUCGGAACGCCGGGGCAAAGGAUAAAUACCACGCACAAAGACAAGCACAAUCGGUACAUAAUUCAACAAGUUUAAGUAAAUUAUACUUGAGUCUCAACAACUUUUGUCCACUUACAGUAAUUGUAUUAUGUUAUUAUCUGAUAACAAUGUGAAAAUGAUCAUUUUAUUUUUGAAUGAAAAUUUCUUCUAUCAUCUUCAUAAAGAAGGCUAUGUUUUCUGUGGUAUGUGUUUAUAUGUGAACUAGUAACUCGAGAAGCUAAGGGUGGAUUGUACAAUACAUGUACAACCAAAUCAACAGUAAUACCUCCAGGCUUGCACAGCACAAAGUUUUUAUAAAAAAAAAUUGUUUGGGUGAAGUCCUUGCAGCCAAGAGGGGAUCUGAUCUUUGCAUUUCAUGUCAUCUGAGGUUCCCUAUUCUGGCUUGAUACAUGUACACAUAUACUGUAUUUAAGUUUGCGGAGAUUUAAUUUUGCUGUAGCAGCAAAAUGGACUUUCGUGUGGGUUUUCAUUUCGCGGUAACACCAUGCACUGUAGUCUCUCACUGUUAUGGAAAAAUGUCAGCGGUGGUUUUAAAUUUGCGGUGAAGCAUUAAACCACUGCGAAAAUUCUGCAUUUACAGUAUGUCAUGUUCUUUCAUUAGCUCGAAGACCAUGCCUUCCAAGCACGACGUUGCUCAGUGCAGACAACUAAGAAGAUGAACUGCCCUGUCCAAUUCACCGUCUAUCACAUCAUCAAGUUUCCCGAUGAUAAAUUCAAGGUACUGUUAAUGUUAGUACUAGAGUAUUCAAUGUCAUAAUUCCAUUAGUUUGUACAAUGUUAAUUUCAGAAUGAGUACUGUUUCUGUGUAUAUACCAAUCCUUUUUUUUACUGUCCUAGAUUGAUAAGGACACUGAUGCUAGGAGGAGGAAGGCCUCAAAAGACUUGAAGAAGGCCAUUGAUCAGAAACCAUCAUCUGUUCAAGCUACUGUUCAAUUCCAUACAUGCUUUCCAACUCUGACAGAACACAAAAACCAUCCAACUGUUGGAGAGGUCGCCGAACUGCGUGAAGGGGUAGAUGAGAGGGUUAAAGGGAGGAUCAGGACCCUCGCAUUGAACGGCGUGAAAGACAUCCGGGAGAUGAGACGUCAUCUCGACGCGUAUGUGAAUGAUGACCUCUUUAAAGGGCAAGAUCUCCCGCCAACUACAAGGAGGCGCUACAACCCCACUGACAAGGACAUACGGAACAACAUGGACAAAUCAAAAGAUCGCAUUAAGAAUUCCAAAGAAGAUCAAUGCAAUGUGCAGGUAAUGUGCAAUAGGCUACAAAGUUAUAUAAUAACUGUUGAUGUUAAAUGCAAAAAUUAACAAGAGUUUGUAGAAUUCUGACAUGCAUAAAAAGUAUUGGGUGUCUGUAGAUGUUUUUUUUAAAUAAAUGAUGGAAGUGCAUUGGGUUUGUUGUACUCAUCUCUAUCAUGUGGUUCGGUUUGUUAUCAUGUCCUGAUGUAAUUUUCUUGUACCCAAGUAAGGGUUAGAACAUGGUCACGUGGCCUUAUAUGAUUUUAAAACGCCAGUGGGAGUCGAAUAUUUUUAUGUAGCGAAAUGGACCAUUGUUUCGAGUAUAGUCCAUUCACAAGUUUUCAUGAUGCCGGCUAUUCUGCUUGUUUUAUGUUCUGAAGAUAAGACACUGUUUUACACCGGCUGUGUUAUGUCUGAAUUGUUUUCCGUAGAGAGAUUGAAACCGUUUUUACUUAAAAGUUCCAUGAUACCGCCCAUGUUAUGUGUUUUUCUGAACUGUUUUCUUUAGAGAUUGAUGAAACUGUUAGUUUGAUGACACCGCCCGUUACCUUCUGAACUGUUUCCUGUAGUAGAGAUUCAAACUGUUUUCCAGACAUGUUUGCUUGACGUUAUCAUUAAAAACUUUGUUUACUUAAUGGCAUUGUGUUUCUGUGUAUAUUCAAAGAUUCUUAGAUAGGUAUGCCUUAUUGUUAAAGCCUGUUUGAAUGACCGUAGGCCGUAUCUGUCUCCUUAGAUGGACAUGCCUAAUAGAAUGGUAUUAAACCGGCAAAACACCCAAAUGCAAAGGCAACUUGUGAUACCAAGUACAUAGACACCUAACCAGUCCCAUAGACAAGGAUGACCAAAAUCAAGCCUGUCAAACCACCAUCACCAACCCAUGUACCAAAUAUCACUGCAAUCCCCAAAAACCUAUCACAUACUACACGAUCACAAUCACUACAAAGGAACUUGACUGACUACAAACAGCCAGAAACACAGACACACCCCUCUUGGUAAAUGGCAUGUACAUCUUUAACUAACUUACACAGGUCACAAUGCUUACAAACUGAUCAUUAAUUUUACUACUUGUACUUAGAAUAAUUAUGGCACUUUCACAUUAUUCAUGCAAACUAGGGAGUUAUUUGCAUGACUGACAUCUGCUAAUCUUCCACCUGCCACAAAAUACAUGUUACAUGUAUUUGAGUCAUAUAGUAGACAACAUUGUAAAUAUAGAUUUUCCUCAUUAAGUAUGCAAAUUAAGGGUUUAUGAAUUAUGCUUUUUCAUUAUCCAAAAGAAACGUGGCACAAUUAUUAGUUAUUUCAAGACCGAGAAGUGUGCUAAGGUUCAUACCUCUGUUAAUAAGAAAGUCGGCAAGAACAUUACGAAUACUAGAGUGUGUGUGUGUCCGAUAAACACAUAUCAUCAUCAAAUAAAUAAAUAAACCACUAUACCAAGUAUCAUGAAGAUCCAUCAAUCAGUUCUCCAGUUAUACUGUUGACCAUCAUAAAGACUCACCUAACACUACGGCAGAUUUUCAGGAUGCAAAUGCCAUGCAAACAUUUCUUUGCUGUGUUCCAUCAAACACCAGGCUGGGGAUGGGAGAAGCUUCCAUCGUCUUAUACAAAGACAACCCCCUUUUCACCUAAGAUGACAAAUGUCCAGGACAGAGGGCAAAUGCAGACAGUCCAAAUACAAGCACAUCUGUAGGGUGUAAGUAAGCAGUGCUACACAGCUACCUUUCAUCCCUGCUUCUUUGCCUGAGAAGAAGUCAUCAAAGAAGCUAAAAAAAAAA